rnacentral:tRNA from 1 species
UCCCAGAUGGCUCAGCGGUAAAGAAUCUGCCUACAAUGCAGGAGACUCAGGUUAGAUCCCUGGGUUGAGAA